rnacentral:rRNA from 1 species
UCUAUGAUGUCUCUUACCAACCUAUCGCUAUCAUUUUGGGGUUAUGCAUUAGAGACAAUUACAUUCACUUUAAAUAGGGCACCAUCUAAGUCCAUGGAGACGACACUGUAUGAACUAUCGUUUGGCAAGAAACCUAAGUUGUUGUUUCUUAAGGUUUGGGGCUACAAUGCUUAUGUCGAUAGGCUUCGGCCAGAAAAGCUCGAACCCAAAGCGGAAAAUUGUGUCUUCAUAGAAUACCCAAACAAGACGAUUGGGUAUACCUUCUAUCUCAGAUCUGAGGGCAAAGUGUUUGUCGCUAGGAACAGGUCCUUUCUCGAGAAAGAGUUUCUCUCAAAAGAAUUGAGUGGGAGGAAGAUAGAACUUGAUGAGGUUGUUGAACCUUCA